CCUGGAGAGGACUUCUCCUUCCUCUGUGUGUUUGGAGGAUGCGCUCAUGGAAAUCUUCCACUCUAACACACGGUGGUAAAACCGUUUCUAAAGCCUAGGAUUGAGCAAAGCGUUUCUGAGACAGGACAAGAGGUAACGACCAUACACUGCACCAGGGGAGGUUCAGGUUGGAUAUCAGGAAACAUUUCUUCUCAGAAAGAGUGGUGAGGCAUUGGAACGGGCUGCCCAGGGAGGUGGUGGAGUCACUAUUCCUGGAGGUGUUCAAAGAACAUAUAGGAGUGGCACUGAGAGACAUAGUUUAAUGGGCAUGGGUGAGUGGCUGGACUAGAUCUGUUUACUGGUCUUUUCCAAAUGUAAUGUGCAAAGAGAGAGCCUAAAAGAAAUUGAAACAACAUUUAAAAAGAAAAAAAAAAUCUUUACAGGCAGAAGCAUGUGGGAGAGGUGGACAUAUAAAAGGUCCAGCUUAGAGGCUGUAAAGGAAAUUUAAUCAAAUAAUAAAAGCUGUCUUGGCCAUAUAAAGAAAAAUUAAGAGAAAUGGAUGUCUUACAUAUUGUAGGUGUUGGCAUUAAAAUGAAUCUAGGCACUGCCCCAAACUAUUUGUCUCAGCUUUGGUAAUGAUACUGGCAUUAUACACAGAAGCAAAAUCAAAACAGUGAAUGUGAGUGGGUGUGGAAACAGAUGUUAUUACAGGCAAGGUAAAAGCAAAGUGCAAAGAGCUCAGCUCUUGAGGAGGCUCAGAAACAGAGAUAAUAAAGCUCAUGAUAAGAGUUUUAAUGCAUUUGCUGAAACAGUUGCAAUGCCAUGUGAUUAAACAUUAGACAUUGAAGCCCUGGAGCGUGUCCAGAGGAGGGCAACAAAGCUGGUGAGGGGUCUGGAGCACAGGCCUUAUGAGGAGCGGCUGAAGGAGCUGGGAUUGUUCAGUCUGGAGAAGAGGAGGCUCAGGGGAGACCUUAUUGCUCUCUAUAACUACCUGAAGGUAGGUUGUAGUGAGCUGGGAGUCGGCCUCUUCUCUCGGGUGACUAGUGAUAGGACUAGAGGGAAUGGCUUCAAGCUGCGCCAGGGGAGGUUCAUGCUGGACGUUAGGUAAUACUACUUCUCUGAAAGGGUGGUCAGGCACUGGAAUGGGCUGCCCAGAGAGGUGGUGGAGUCACUGACCCUGGUGGUGUUCAAAGAGUGUUUGGAUGUUGUGUUGAGGGACAUGGUUUAGCGAGAACCGUUGGUGAAGGGCAAAUGGUUGGACUGGAUGAUCCUGUGGGUCUUUUCCAACUGCAUUGGAAAACUGCAUUUGCUCCUUAGCUCCCAGUACACUGCAUGAUGUUGUGAU
ensembl:lncRNA